rnacentral:rRNA from 1 species
AUUGAACGCUGGCGGCAUGCUUUACACAUGCAAGUCGAACGGCAGCACGGACUUCGGUCUGGUGGCGAGUGGCGAACGGGUGAGUAAUACAUCGGAACGUACCCAGUAAUGGGGGAUAACUAUCCGAAAGGAUAGCUAAUACCGCAUAAGCCCUACGGGGGAAAGAGGGGGAUCGCAAGACAUCUUGUUAUUGGAGCGGCCGAUGGCUGAUUAGCUAGUUGGUAGGGUAAAGGCCUACCAAGGCAACGAUCAGUAGCGGGUCUUAGAGGACGAUCCGCCACACUGGAACUGAGACACGGUCCAGACUCCUACGGGAGGCAGCAGUGGGGAAUCUUGGACAAUGGGCGCAAGCCUGAUCCAGCAAUGCCGCGUGCGUGAAGAAGGCCUUCGGGUUGUAAAGCGCUUUUGUCAGGGAGCAAAUCCUUGUGGCUAAUACCCACCGGGGAUGAGAGUACCUGAAGAAUAAGGACCGGCUAACUACGUGCCAGCCGCCGCCGUAAUAC